GACAUGGGAAGCUUGCUUCCUAUGAAAUCGAGUGGCAAACGGGUGAGUAACGCGUAAACAACCUGCCCUUCGGAUGGGGAUAACAGCCGGAAACGGCUGCUAAUACCGAAUACGAUCUUUUCGUCGCAUGACGGAAAGAAGAAAGGAUGGCCUCUAUACAAAGCUAUCGCCGAAGGAGGGGUUUGCGUCUGAUUAGCUGGUCGGAGGGGUAACGGCCCAACAAGGCGAUGAUCAGUAGCCGGUCUGAGAGGAUGAACGGCCACAUUGGGACUGAGACACGGCCCAGACUCCUACGGGAGGCAGCAGUGGGGAAUCUUCCGCAAUGGACGAAAGUCUGACGGAGCAACGCCGCGUGAGUGAAGAAGGUCUUCGGAUUGUAAAGCUCUGUUAUACGGGACGAAAAAGACGGAUGCCAACAGUAUCCGUCCGUGACGGUACC
rnacentral:rRNA from 1 species